rnacentral:tRNA from 1 species
GUUUCCGUAGUGUAGUGGUUAUCACAUUCGCCAAACACGCGAAAGGUUCCCAGGUUCGAAACCUGGCGGAAACA